rnacentral:rRNA from 1 species
UACGUAGGGGGCAAGCGUUGUCCGGAAUUAUUGGGCGUAAAGAGCGUGUAGGCGGUCCGGUAAGUCAGCUGUGAAAGUCAAGGGCUCAACCCUUGAAUGCCGGUUGAUACUGUCGGGCUAGAGUCCGGAAGAGGCGAGUGGAAUUCCCGGUGUAGCGGUGAAAUGCGCAGAUAUCGGGAGGAACACCAAUGGCGAAGGCAGCUCGCUGGGACGGUACUGACGCUGAGACGCGAA